GACGAACGCUGGCGGCGUGCCUAAUACAUGCAAGUAGGACGCAGUUGCGAACGGGUGAGUAACGCGUAGGUACCUACCUAUUAGAGGGGGAUAACUAUUGGAAACGAUAGCUAAUACCGCAUACUAAUAGAUGGAACUGCGUUGUAGUGGCUAGUAGGUAGGGUAAAGGCCUACCUAGGCAACGAUACAUAGCCGACCUGAGAGGGGGAUCGGCAAACCGUGGAAUGGGGCCCGGCCCCGACUCCCUCUGGAGGAAGCAGUAGGGGAGUUUCGGAAAUGGGGGGAACCCUGACCGAGGAACGCCGCGUGAGUGAAGAAGGUUUUCGGAUCGUAAAGCUCUGUUGUUAAGGCAGCGGUACUUACCCAGAAAGGGACGGCUAACUCCGUGCCAGCAGCCGCAGUAAUAC
rnacentral:rRNA from 1 species